rfam:Manacus vitellinus contig8256, whole genome shotgun sequence.
GGAAAGGUUUUACUGAAAACCACUCUAAUUUCUUAGAAAAGUAAAG